rnacentral:rRNA from 1 species
AGUGGGGAAUAUUGGACAAUGGGCGAAAGCCUGAUCCAGCAAUGCCGCGUGAGUGAAGAAGGCCUUCGGGUUGUAAAGCUCUUUUGCCCGGGAAGAUAAUGACUGUACCGGGAGAAUAAGCCCCGGCUAACUCCGUGCCAGCAGCCGCGGUAAUACGGAGGGGG